rnacentral:pre_miRNA from 1 species
CCUUAUCACUUUUCCAGCCCAGCUUUGUGACUCUGAGUGUUGGACGGAGAACUGAUAAGGGU